GCAAAUUUUUGCAGGAGAAGGAAAACACGUACAAGGUGUUAGUGCAGCUGGCUCAAUAUAGAAGUAACUUAUAACCCUAAGGGUAACAAGAAUAAUCUGCUCAAACAGAAAGGUAUCAAAGCCUCAGCUGGAAUGGGCCAUCAGCUGUGGGCAGCACAUUCAACAAACUGAGACAUCUCUAGUGUAGCUGUGGAAGAGACUGAUGCAGAGCAGCAACAGAGUAUGUGUGUAUUACCUAGUUUUCUAUUGUAACUCUAUGAAUAUAUUGCAUCUCCCCCCAAGGAGCAUGCCCGCUCACCUUUGAUCCAGACUGUUGUAAAAAAUUGGUUUGUAAGAUCACUAAAGUGCUUCAUGAAAGGGAGAAUCAUUUAUUUGAAAUAUCUUAAAAAGCCUGAAUUUCACCAGGCCUUAACAGUAUAGGUUUUGAAUUUUUAAUAGAAAUGCUUGAUUUUAAUACUCUGGGGCAUUUCAUGCUUUUUAACCAUCAUGAAAGAUUCCUUAAAGUGAUAAAAUGCAUUUAUACCUAUUUUGACUAUCACAGCCGCUUCCCUUUCAGAUAAAGUUAUGAAUCUUCCAAAUGUCUUCUCUGCAGUUACCUCUAACACAUUUUUUAGCAUUGUUAAUAUACAGCAAACACAUUUUACUAAGCAUUAAUGUAGUCCUUGAAAAUUAAUUCUUUAUCAAAGGUAGGUGUUAUCCUUGUAUACUCUUGAGAAUGCUGCAGGGAAUCAUAUACUUAAACCUUUUUUUUUUUUAUCUCUUCCUCUGGCAUAUAAAAUUUCUGUCUGUGCCAGAAAACAAGACAUCCUUGUGUAUCCUCUGAAUAAAAAAAGCUAUACCUAAGUAGGUGUUUCAAGGUCUUAGCAUAAAGGGCUUCUUGUUCUUAGAAGUAUUGUCUUGAAUGUUUGUUUCUUUUCUGUGUUGAUUCCCAUUCUAAUGCCCGUUUGCAUUCACGUAGUGGGGUUGCUUCUAGACAGUUUUGUGAGCAUCCUCUCUCUGAACCUGUCAGGACCAGCCCAUGGAGCUGAUACUGCUAAGAUGGAGUACGAACUGGUGGCUGGAGAGCACAGUUUGGUUGUUGGAGUGAACAGAUUGAAUCGUAAGAUGCCUAGAAGAGGAGCUACCUGAGGCCUGCUGCUGCAGAGGUUGAGUGGACAGCCCAAGAGCCC